rnacentral:lncRNA from 12 species
GCGAGGACGCGGUGGCAGCGGCAGUGGGGGCACCUGGGGCAGGACGCCGUCGGGGGGGGCCCGGAAACCCGAGGGUCAUCGUCGGAGGACCGACCUGGCCCCACGCCGCCGAGCCUCCGCACGGUUCAGGGGUCGCGGGGGCGCGGGCGCUUCAACAGCCCGAGAAACCACGCGAAGACUUUCAGAUGUCCCUUUGGGUCCCCACUCCAGGAAGCGAGCCGCAACCUUGGUCGACAUACCUCCCACGUGUGUAGACUGUGACCGUGUGGCCACAUCACUAGGAGUCACUAAGGUUCUAGAGCUAAAAGUCCUGAAUAUGAUCCGGAGGAAGACACGUCUGCAUUCGGUCUGACAAAUGGAAUCGUGGGAGAGUAGGCCCUGAACGACCCACCACACCCAGCGAGGAGACAAAAAUGACCUGGCCACACUCGGAUGGGACAAGAACAACUUCAUGCCCCUGGGGAUGGUCUCAGCUUGGUCAAAGUUUAAACACCAGGUAGUUUCCCAUGGGAGAUUUUAUUUAAAACUGUGAUUUCAUUUUUAAUUAAUUUCUACAGCCCAACAUGGGACUCGAACUCACAACCCUGAGAUCAACAGUCACGUGCUCCCCUGACUGAGCCAACCAGGAGCCCAGCAAUGUGCGGUUUUGAGCACUAAGCAACUUGCUCCUUAAGGGCAAGAAAUCAGAGAACGUGUGUGUUCCCUGCCGGUGCUCUGCAGUCACCCCCCCGGGAGAGGCCCGAAGACCCUCGCGCACCGUGGGAGCCUACUGUGUGGGACCUUCCUUUGUCUGUCAGCAGCGGGCUGCGUGGUUCCCGAGCACCCCUCGGGUGCCUGGUGCCGUCUCAGGGUGCCCCUGUUGCAUAGAGGGCCUCCACACGUUCCUUUCAUCUGGGAGUCGCUUACUUAUUUUUUGUGCUUGCCACACUCUGAAGGCACCGAGGCAGGUGCCGAGCACGUGCGGAGCAGCGGCCUGCAGGGACACCCAGGCCUCAGGGACCCUCAUCACCCCCCGCCUCCCUCCCUUAAUUACCCCCUGGGAGCUGGGACUGACUGCAGAGGGAGAGCACGGAGGCUUUGCAUUUAGGAGGCCCUCUCUCCGAGGACUUGGAGGUGCUCCUAGGU